rnacentral:tRNA from 1 species
UCCCUGGUGGCUCAGUCAGUAAAGAGUCUGCCUGCAAUGCAGGAGACCUGGGUUCAAUCCCUGGGUUGGGAA